rnacentral:lncRNA from 1 species
ACGACAGUUUUCCGGCCUAGUUUGCGGCUGCUCCUGCCGUGUUGCGUAGGGCGCCUGUGCUUGAGGUUGGGGGUUGCGUCGCUCUCUGGUAAAGGCGUGCAGGUGUUGGCCGCGGCCUCUGAGCUGGGAUGAGCCGUGCUCCCGGUGGAAGCAAGGGAGCCCAGCCGGAGCCAUGGCCAGUACAGUGGUAGCAGUUGGACUGACCAUUGCUGCUGCAGGAUUUGCAGGCCGUUACGUUUUGCAAGCCAUGAAGCAUAUGGAGCCUCAAGUAAAACAAGUUUUUCAAAGCCUACCAAAAUCUGUAAGACUUUGUUAAUUCUUUGCUGCUUCUAUUUGAAACCUAGAGCCACACUUAGGGAAGGGUAAAUUUCCAAAUAUCCAUGAAGUUCUAAGUGAUUGCUUUGGACCCAUUCUCCUGCUUCCUGCAAGGAGAGUAUAGAAGUUCUGAACUUUGUGAUGGUGCUACCCUGAAACAUCAGAUGUUAUAUGUGACAGAGUUGGAUGGGGUUUUGACAAUUCUAGUACCCCACUAGACCCAAGUUUCACUUUUUCACAUACCAUCACCUUCAGCAUCAUCUGUACAUAUUCUUGUUUUCCUUCAUCUGCUCUGCAUCGCACACACAGAGGUAUAUGAUUCUAAAGUGAUCCGAUCUGACCAUGUGGCCCUGGCACUCCCAAACAUCAUACAUAGGUAGCACUCUAGUUAAUUAGGCUAUAGGGUUUGGCUUGAUGUUAUGGUCAUACUCUCUGUGGUCACAGUUAAGAAUAGAUUUGGCUGUGAUCACCUGUUGAAUAUGUUGUGAUUAAGUGUAACAGAAUAGAGUGAUUGUAGGCUUUACCAAUAUGAUUUCUGACAUGGCAAGGUCAGAGGACCUAAUAGUGGUAUUUUCUGUAUAUAUAUCUUAAAGUCUUGUUUCAAAUACACUUGAACCUCUUGUCUCAAAAGACUUCUGUUCUUGAGCCACUUCUUGCAGAUUUUUAUCUAGAAUAUGGCUAAUUUGGAAUGAUCUUUCCUUUACUCCCGGAAGACCUGGCUUUCAGACACUGUUAUUUUGUCUUAUAUUUCUAAGAUAGUUCAUAUUGACUGGAAAAAAAUGAAUCUGUUUAAUGAUCAUUAAAAUACUACUUGUUGCUACUUAUUUAU